AACGAACGCUGGCGGCAUGCCUAAUACAUGCAAGUCGAACGAGAUCUUCGGAUCUAGUGGCGCACGGGUGCGUAACGCGUGGGAAUCUGCCCUUGGGUUCGGAAUAACUUCUGGAAACGGAAGCUAAUACCGGAUGAUGACGUAAGUCCAAAGAUUUAUCGCCCAAGGAUGAGCCCGCGUAGGAUUAGCUAGUUGGUGGGGUAAAGGCUCACCAAGGCGACGAUCCUUAGCUGGUCUGAGAGGAUGAUCAGCCACACUGGGACUGAGACACGGCCCAGACUCCUACGGGAGGCAGCAGUAGGGAAUAUUGGACAAUGGGCGAAAGCCUGAUCCAGCAAUGCCGCGUGAGUGAUGAAGGCCUUAGGGUUGUAAAGCUCUUUUACCCGGGAUGAUAAUGACAGUACCGGGAGAAUAAGCUCCGGCUAACUCCGUGCCAGCAGCCGCCGUAAGAC
rnacentral:rRNA from 1 species